rnacentral:rRNA from 1 species
GAUGAACGCUAGCGGCAGGCUUAAUACAUGCAAGUUGAGGGGCAGCAUGAUAUACGCGAGUAUAUUGAUGGCGACCGGCGGACGGGUGAGUAAUAGGUAGGAGACCUACCUCAUACAGGGGGAUAGCAUAGAGAAAUCUGUGGUAAUACCCCAUGAGGUUAUAUGAAUAGAGGCAUAUAAUCAAAGCAUAAGCGAUUAUGCGGUAUGAGAGGGGCCUACUGACCAUUAGCUAGUUGGUGAGGUAAGGGCUCACCAAGGCGAAGAUGGUUAGGGGUUUUGAGAGAGAGACCCCCCACAUUGGAACUGAGAGACGGUCCAGACUCCUACGGGAGGCAGCAGUAGGGAAUAUUGGGCAAUGGGCGAAAGCCUGACCCAGCCAUGCCGCGUGAAGGAAGACGGCCUUAUGGGUUGUAAACUUCUUUACUACGCGAAUAGAGGUUAGUACGAGAUACUAAUAGGAAGGUAGUGUAAGUAAAAGCACCGGCUAACUCCGUG